UACGUAGGGGCAAGCGUUGUCCGGAUUUAUUGGGCGUAAAGAGCGUGUAGGCGGCUUUACAGGUCCGUUGUGAAACUCGAGGCUCAACCUCGAGACGCCGGUGGAAACCGUAAAGCUAGAGUCCGGAAGAGGAGAGUGGAAUUCCGUGGUGUAGCGGUGAAAUGCGCAGAUAUCAGGAGGAACACCGAGUGGCGAAGGCAGGUCUCUGGGCAUUAACUGACGCUGAGGAGCGAAAGCAUGGGGAGCGAACAGG
rnacentral:rRNA from 1 species